rnacentral:rRNA from 1 species
AUUGAACGCUGGCGGCAGGCCUAACACAUGCAAGUCGAACGAGUGGCGGACGGGUGAGUAAUGUCUGGGAAACUGCCUGAUGGAGGGGGAUAACUACUGGAAACGGUAGCUAAUACCGCAUACCAUCAGAUGUGCCCAGAUGGGAUUAGCUUGUUGGUGGGGUAACGGCUCACCAAGAGGACGAUCCCUAGCUGGUCUGAGAGGAUGAACGGCCACACUGGAACUGAGACACGGCCCAGACUCCUACGGGAGGCAGCAGUAGGGAAUAUUGCACAAUGGGCGAAAGUCUGAUGCAGCCAUGCCGCGUGUGUGAAGAAGGCCUUCGGGUUGUAAAGUUCUUUCGUCGGGGAAGCGUUACCCGCAGAGGAAGCACCGGCUAACUCCGUGCCAGCAGCCGCGGUAAUAC